rnacentral:rRNA from 1 species
UACAGAGGUCCCAAGCGUUGUUCGGAUUCACUGGGCGUAAAGGGUGCGUAGGUGGUCGGGUAAGUCUGAUGUGAAAUCUCGGAGCUUAACUCCGAAACUGCAUUCGAUACUGCCGUGCUUGAGGACUGGAGAGGAGACUGGAAUUUACGGUGUAGCGGUGAAAUGCGUAGAUAUCGAGAGGAACACCAGUGGCGAAGGCGAGUCCCUGGACAACUUCUGACGCUGAGGCACGAAAGCUAGGGGAGCAAACAGG